CGUAGGCCAGAGCAGCUGGGCUGAAUAAAACAGAGCCGGCGCUCUCCCUUCCCAAAGGCCUACAUUGCCCACCGGUCCGGGUUCGGAGCUCAGAACGAGAGAAGGAGCGGUUGUUGCCGGCACGGAGGAGUGCUCUCCUGGACGGCCGUGCGGGACAGAGCAGUGGUGGCCACAAAACAAGAGAAGAAUCCUGAGAAGAUGUUGCUGAUCCCAAAGGCAAUGAAUUCCUAAGGGAGAGACUGGAUGACAACGAUCCUACAAAUUGAAUCUUUGCAAGACCUUCGCUGAAUAUUUCAGAAAGUACAUUAAGAACAAAAACUCCCAUGCCCACCCUGCCUGGUGGUCCAGUUUAAUUUUUACGGUGAUAGGUACUUGAGGUCCUUGUACGACAUCAGGAGUUUGGACUCUAUACCAUCCGAGAGCGGUGCUCUCGAUAAUUUUUAAAGUUGACAAGAAAUAGCAUCUGAUCAUUUGCUAAGCUUUUUCACUGCCUAGUGAAUGGAAUGUCUGCAGCUCUCAUAUAAGUGUUUUUCUGUGGCUGAAUAUUCGCUAUGAAGCAUAUUACGACUAGCAGUGCUGUUAUUCUGCUUGAUUACUAACCAUUUAACUGCUGUCAUUGCUAUACUGUAUCUCCAGAAACGUAUAGAUACAGAACUUGCAAAUUUGCAAGCAGUGUGAAAUCAGCUUACCUGGCAAUGUCUCACAUACCUACAAAAACUGCCUGUAUAUAUUAACUGCACAGUGAACCACCUCAAUUUAAAGUGGUCACAACUAUUAUUAAUGUUUGUUGCACUACUUUCUCACAUUAUAACUGCCAUUAAAAAUAAUUGCCAAGAGGUACUGGGUUACAUGAAGAAUUCUCUUUCUGACCUAAUAUGUUCACUUUGAAUGUUAUUUAUGACCUGACUGAAUUAGCUCUUUUAAAAUUAGUGUUAUUUCAAC